GGGUGAGUAAAGGUGCAUUAUGAGAUGCUGGUGAUUUUAGAGCCAGUCAUGUAGAGGCCAGGAGAUGCUCAGGAUGUAGAAAAAACUUUUGUGCUGUUUUUUGUUGUUUGUUUGUUUCUAAAGCAGAGGCCUUACCAUAGUUGUCUUCCAAGAGCUGCAGCUAUUUUGUCAAGUGCGGAAAAGAAAAAUGAUCUCUAUUGGAGAUGAGAUGAAACAUGCUGAAUUUCUCUUCUGCUUUUGAAGAUGGCAAGACAACUCUCUUGGAUCUCUGUGUAAAAGGCAGCUGAUUUGGACAAUGUAUCCCUUUCCAAGUGUCACCACAUGAACCCAGAGGCCCCGAGAGCAGCAAUAAGUGGCCCUUGGUGAGCAUCAGUGUUGGGAGCAACUGCAACAGUUGUAAUGAGGGUUAGUAGGAAGGAACAAUUCCUGGCCUACAUCAUGAAGAUCUCCUUUACCUCUUUUCUCCACUUCCCCAGACUUCUAGCAAGAUAAAAAACAACGCUGACACCCAUGAGGUUACCUCUCUUAGCAGCUUCAUGGAUGGGAGAUGCCAAGUCACAGGGCGGGUGCAGGUUGGCCCCAUGUUGCAGCAGUAAAUUCAAACAGGCCACACUGCCACUGACACAAGCACUGAACAAAGGAGUGUGCCAGUCAACAGUAACCCCAUUCACCUGGGGGAAGAAUAAAAACAACACUGGAACAGGUUGCCCAGAGAAGUUGUGGAUGUCCCAUCACUGGAGGUGUUCAAGGCCAGGUUGGAUGAGACUUUUGGCAACUUGGUCUGAUAGGAAGUGUCCCAGCCCACAGCAGGGGGGUUGGAACUAAAUGAUCUUUAAGGUGUCUUCCAACCCAAACCAUUCUGUGAUUCUAUGAUGUAGCAUUAAAUUGUCAUAAUAAAACCUAUUAACACUGGAGACAAUAUCUUGUCCAUGAUGCACUUACCUUAGCACCGUGCUUUAAUAGGAAACUGGCAC